AUACGGAGGAUCCGAGCGUUAUCCGGAUUUAUUGGGUUUAAAGGGAGCGUAGGUGGACAGUUAAGUCAGUUGUGAAAGUUUGCGGCUCAACCGUAAAAUUGCAGUUGAUACUGGCUGUCUUGAGUUCAGUAGAGGUGGGCGGAAUACGUGGCGUAGCGGUGAAAUGCUUAGAUAUCACGAAGAACUCCGAUUGCGAAGGCAGAUCACUGUACUGCAACUGACACUGAAUCUCGAAAGUGUUGGUAUCAAACAGGUAUAGAUAACCUGGUAGUCCACACAGUAAACGAUUAAUACUAGAGAGUUGCGAUAUACAGUAAGCCGCCAAGCGAAAACAUUAAGUAUUCCUCCUGGGGUGUACGCCGGCAACGGUGAAACUAAAAAGAAUUGACGGGG
rnacentral:rRNA from 1 species